GUUAUACUCCCUCCGUUCCAUAAUUCUUGUCAAAAUAUUACAUGUAUCUAGAUGCUUUUUAGGAAUAGAUACGUCCAUUUUUGGGCAAAUUUGAGACAAGAAUUAUGGAACGGAGGGAGUACAAU
rfam:Brachypodium distachyon strain Bd21 chromosome 3, whole genome shotgun sequence.